GUCCACGCCCUAAACGUUGAUUACUCGUUGUUGGCGAUAUACAGUCAGCGACUAAGCUAAAGCGUUAAGUAAUCCACCUGGGAAGUACGACCGCAAGGUUGAAACUCAAAGGAAUUGACGGGGCCCGCACAAGCGGAGGAGCAUGUGGUUUAAUUCGAUGAUACGCGAGGAACCUUACCUGGGCUUGAAAGUUAGUGACCGCCUCUGAAAGGAGGCUUCUCUUCGGGAGCACAAAACUAGGUGCUGCAUGGCUGUCGU
rnacentral:rRNA from 1 species